rnacentral:lncRNA from 1 species
CUCCAAUGAAAUGCAUCAUAACACAGACAAUUCACAUAAGGGUUGGGUGAACUUGUCACCAAUUAGUCCCAGCUAUCUCUGUGCCAGGCCGUAGCAUGGGGUCCUGGUCUUCCUGUCAUAUCAUACAUUACUUACCAUUGCCCCAGGGCCUCCUCUGGGCUCCUAGUCUUCGAGUCCCAUAACCGUGCCAGGCCGUAGAAUGGGGUCCUGGUCUUUCCUUACUCUGUGCCAGGCCGUAGAAUGGGG